GUCCGUGAUUUUCGUAGAAUAAUUAGUACCUAUUUAUAGUAAUUAUACAAUCUAGUAAUCAAAUUAUCGAUUCACAGACAUCGUUAUAGAUUGAAAAUGUACCUAGUCAUUAAAUAAAUUGUUCAAACAAUGAUAAUUGCGGGUUUUUGCAAGUUUUUUUAUGGCAUCACCCAAUUCCAGAGAUCAAAUUGCUAUCUUAACCAACACUAAUAAACUGUAUCCGUCUAUAAUUAUUUUUAAUUCUGGCAACUAGGCUACUAAGUUAAUACGAUGUUGGGAUCUGAAAAUUGAUUCCAUAAUAGUAUUCUUACUAAAUAUAAUAAUUAUGUAGGUGUACAUAGCAGGUAAUAACACUGAAUCCAAUCGUGGCCAAGUUCAAUUUAAAUUUUUUGUUUUUAUACUCAAUAAUAAUUAUUAAAUAAUUAACUUUAAUUUUAAAUUAGAUUAACUAUAACUAGUUGACCCGGCCUGGCUUCGCAAGUAUACCAAGUUGCGUUAAAAUCCGUUCAGUAGUUUCAGCGUAAAGUGUGCUCAGACAGAUAGACAAAAAUUAUAAAACUGGCCAAGUGCGAGUCAGACUAGCGCAUUGAGGAGCAGAAAAAGUAAAACGUAUGUGCGUAUGAAUCACUUUUGUUAACGAACCGCAAAACUACUCGUAAGUUUGUUCGUAGAGGAUUGUUGAUAUAAUUAGGUAUACCUUUACCUACUGUUAAUAUAAAACAAACUAUGAUAGUUAGAGUGCUGGUUUUAUUUUUUUAACAUUUGCAUUCGACAUAAAUCGUUCAGUUACAGUAUACGUAUAGAUUUAAGUUUAGUUAUAAAAUUAGAUUAACAAGUAGGUAUUUUCGGUAUAAUCAAUACAAAAAACUUUUUGUACUGAUUAUUUAUUAUUAUCAUGUAUUUGAUUACUUAUUUAAGAUCAAGAUGUAAUACUUACUACAUAUGUAUAAGUACCUACAUAUAAUGCAAAUAGUUGUUUACUUGUAAUGAUAAUAAUAUGAGGUUUGUAAAAAUAUUAUUACAUACGUAUAAUUUCAUUUUAAGUUUAAAAUAGGGAUAUAAUAAUUAAGAUUCGUCAAAAAACCUGUGAUAAAAACUUAUUCCAAUGGUGAAAGAAUCAUCUAUUUUAAAUGUUUGUAUGAUACUUAAAGUAAGGUAAAGAUAAUAUGGGUUAUUAAACUUAAGGAGAAACUGUUCAAAUAGAUUAUAUUUUUCAGGUUAAUAUAAGUUUUAUUGUAAUUUGCCAAUUCAGUGCUUGUCCUUGUAGUCCAGCAGCAUGUGCCUUAUUAUGAUUUACUCUAUGAAAUAAAAUGUUUAAGUGA